rnacentral:rRNA from 1 species
GAUGAACGCUGGCGGCGUGCCUAAUACAUGCAAGUCGAGCGAACGGACGAGAAGCUUGCUUUUCUGAUGUUAGCGGCGGACGGGUGAGUAACACGUGGAUAACCUACCUAUAAGACUGGGAUAACUUCGGGAAACCGGAGCUAAUACCGGAUAAUAUUUUGAACCGCAUGGUUCAAAAGUGAAAGACGGUCUUGCUGUCACUUAUAGAUGGAUCCGCGCUGCAUUAGCUAGUUGGUAAGGUAACGGCUUACCAAGGCAACGAUGCAUAGCCGACCUGAGAGGGUGAUCGGCCACACUGGAACUGAGACACGGUCCAGACUCCUACGGGAGGGAGCAGUAGGGAAUCUUCCGCAAUGGGCGAAAGCCUGACGGAGCAACGCCGAGUGAGUGAUGAAGGUCUUCGGAUCGUAAAACUCUGUUAUUAGGGAAGAACAUAUGUGUAAGUAACUGUGCACAUCUUGACGGUACCUAAUCAGAAAGCCACGGCUAACUACGUG